rnacentral:rRNA from 1 species
GAUGAACGCUAGCUACAGGCUUAACACAUGCAAGUCGAGGGGCAGCAUGCAGGUAGCUUGCUAUCUGUGAUGGCGACCGGCGCACGGGUGAGUAACGCGUAUCCAACCUUCCCCUUAGUAGGGCAUAGCCCGGUGAAAAUCGGAUUAAUACCCUAUGCUGUAUUUUGAGGACAUCUGACGAAUACCAAAGGUUUACCGCUAAGGGAUGGGGAUGCGUCUGAUUAGGUAGUCGGCGGGGUAACGGCCCACCGAGCCAUCGAUCAGUAGGGGUUCUGAGAGGAAGGUCCCCCACAUUGGAACUGAGACACGGUCCAAACUCC